rnacentral:rRNA from 1 species
UUUACGGAGAGUUUGAUCCUGGCUCAGGAUGAACGCUGGCGGCGUGCUUAACACAUGCAAGUCGAACGAUGAAGCCCAGCUUGCUGGGUGGAUUAGUGGCGAACGGGUGAGUAACACGUGAGCAACCUGCCCCUGACUCUGGGAUAAGCGCUGGAAACGGCGUCUAAUACUGGAUACGAACAAGAAUCGCAUGGUUACUUGUUGGAAAGAUUUUUUGGUUGGGGAUGGGCUCGCGGCCUAUCAGCUUGUUGGUGAGGUAAUGGCUCACCAAGGCGUCGACGGGUAGCCGGCCUGAGAGGGUGACCGGCCACACUGGGACUGAGACACGGCCCAGACUCCUACGGGAGGCAGCAGUGGGGAAUAUUGCACAAUGGGCGGAAGCCUGAUGCAGCAACGCCGCGUGAGGGAUGACGGCCUUCGGGUUGUAAACCUCUUUUAGCAGGGAAGAAGCGAGAGUGACGGUACCUGCAGAAAAAGCGCCGGCUAACUACGUGCCAGCAGCCGCGGUAAUACGUAGGGCGCAAGCGUUAUCCGGAAUUAUUGGGCGUAAAGAGCUCGUAGGCGGUUUGUCGCGUCUGCUGUGAAAUCCCGAGGCUCAACCUCGGGCCUGCAGUGGGUACGGGCAGACUAGAGUGCGGUAGGGGAGAUUGGAAUUCCUGGUGUAGCGGUGGAAUGCGCAGAUAUCAGGAGGAACACCGAUGGCGAAGGCAGAUCUCUGGGCCGUAACUGACGCUGAGGAGCGAAAGGGUGGGGAGCAAACAGGCUUAGAUACCCUGGUAGUCCACCCCGUAAACGUUGGGAACUAGUUGUGGGGUCCAUUCCACGGAUUCCGUGACGCAGCUAACGCAUUAAGUUCCCCGCCUGGGGAGUACGGCCGCAAGGCUAAAACUCAAAGGAAUUGACGGGGACCCGCACAAGCGGCGGAGCAUGCGGAUUAAUUCGAUGCAACGCGAAGAACCUUACCAAGGCUUGACAUAUACGAGAACGGGCCAGAAAUGGUCAACUCUUUGGACACUCGUAAACAGGUGGUGCAUGGUUGUCGUCAGCUCGUGUCGUGAGAUGUUGGGUUAAGUCCCGCAACGAGCGCAACCCUCGUUCUAUGUUGCCAGCACGUAAUGGUGGGAACUCAUGGGAUACUGCCGGGGUCAACUCGGAGGAAGGUGGGGAUGACGUCAAAUCAUCAUGCCCCUUAUGUCUUGGGCUUCACGCAUGCUACAAUGGCCGGUACAAUGGGCAGCGAUACCGUGAGGUGGAGCGAAUCCCAAAAAGCCGGUCCCAGUUCGGAUUGAGGUCUGCAACUCGACCUCAUGAAGUCGGAGUCGCUAGUAAUCGCAGAUCAGCAACGCUGCGGUGAAUACGUUCCCGGGUCUUGUACACACCGCCCGUCAAGUCAUGAAAGUCGGUAACACCUGAAGCCGGUGGCCUAACCCUUGUGGAGGGAGCUGUCGAAGGUGGGAUCGGUAAUUAGGACUAAGUCGUAACAAGGUAGCCGUACCGGAAGGUGCGGCUGGAUCACCUCCUUU